UGUAUCCUUGAAGGGAAUAUUGGACACCUUUCUAUCUCUGUCUUUGCUUUCCAGUCACCAGGAGGUAAACAGAUCUCUGCCACAUUCUCCCACCAUGAGUACUGUGCCACCACUGGCUGAAAGCAACAGAGUCAAGCAACCAUGGACCAAAACCUCUGAAACUGUAUGCUUCAUAUCCAGGUGUGGAGUUGUCAACGGAGAAGAACAGAUCACCCUGCAGUGGUCCCCAUCUUGGAGCAUCAAAUCCUUGAAGGCUGUUUACGGAACACCAGACUCUUGGAUUUCCCAGAUCAUCAGUGACAUCAACCUCAAAAGCCCAACUAUGAUUUGAGCAUUUUCUGCAAGUUCUCCAUUGUAACAGUCACCUUAUCAGUGACAUAGACAUAGAAGAGAAUUCUCAUCAGAGAGAGUUCAUGGCAGUGAGCAAGGAAGUCAGUAAUCAAUGCCUGUUAAUAUCCAUGAGAACUUCAGAUGAAUUUCCAGGUCCUCCCUUAUGAUUUGUAUCAAGAGAAAGAGGAGACCAGAGGACAUUGGUGAGAAAAGGACUCAGAAAGCCAUUUAUUUCAUUUCUUCAAGUUAGAAAAUUUCCAUUUUGACACUGUCAGCGUCUCUCCUUUCAUAGGCAGUAAAUUCACUACGAAGGGCCGAAAUCUUCUCUUUCUCUCUUUCCUUUUUUUCACUCUUCCCACAAAACCAGGUAUUAUUUAGGUCUUUGAAAAGCUGCAUAAACCAACUGUUCCUCCACAGAUUAGCCCUUUCAGAGCUCAGGUGCUGUGCCUCCUUGGGUUACACCGCCGCCUGUGACUUGUGGUCAGAUGUGGGUGGUGUCAUUCUGCCUUAUUCCUCCUUGUAGGAAAACAUUUGUAUGUUGGCUUCGUCAGGUCCUAUUUCCCUUGGGAAUGAUCCUGUAUGCACUUCUUCAUGCUCUUGGUGGGCAAUUGAGUCACUGGCCUUCAUGGAACCUCUGGACAUCUUGGAAAAGACCAGGAAGCCUUGCUUUCCCUCUGUGCCUUCACUCAGGCCAGACACGAUAAGAUUACAAGAUGGCUGUUUUACCUCAGUUUGGUUGGUGUCCUUUAUCUAAUAGAUCGAGCAUGGGUGCAGUUUCUGUAGAGUGUUGUCUCUACCUGGAUGACUAAAGAUUGUAAAGAGCCACUCACCCAGCCCAGAGUGACAGGACAUCAGGCCUCUGUACAUACAGUGCCUGGCUUCCCCAUCAGAUGCAGCUUUGACAUUUUCCUGGGGAGACUCCACUCCAAGGACUUUCAGGUAAGCUUUGCUAUUCAGCCUCUCCCCAUUCUUUGAUAAGCAUUUUGUACAUUCCAUUAUAACUAAAAAUACAUUUGUCUUCAUCUGGGCCUUUAGUCUGAAAAUACCACCCACUGUGGAAUUCACUUUUUAAUCCUCAUGU